AGUGGCGGACGGGUGAGUAACACGUGAGAAUUUGCCUUUAGGAGGGGGAUAACAAUCGGAAACGAAUGCUAAUACCCCAUAUGCUUUUGAGUGAAAUGGAUUUAUCCGCCUAAAGAGAAGCUCGCGGCUGAUUAGCUUGUUGGUAAGGUAAGAGCUUACCAAGGCGACGAUCAGUAUCUGGUUAGAGAGGACGAUCAGACACACUGGAACUGAGACACGGUCCAGACUCCUACGGGAGGCAGCAGUGGGGAAUUUUCCGCAAUGGGCGAAAGCCUGACGGAGCAAUACCGUGUGAGGGAAGACUGCCUAUGGGUUGUAAACCUCUUUUUUCAGGGAGGAAUAAAUUGACGUGUACCUGAAGAAUAAGCAUCGGCUAACUCCGUGCCAGCAGCCGCGGUAAGACGGAGGAUGCAAGUGUUAUCCGGAAUCACUGGGCGUAAAGCGUCUGUAGGUGGUUUAAUAAGUCAACUGUUAAAUCUUGAGGCUCAACUUCAAAAUCGCAGUCGAAACUAUUAGACUAGAGUAUAGUAGAGGUAAAGGGAAUUUCCAGUGGAGCGGUGAAAUGCGUAGAUAUUGGAAAGAACACCAAUGGCGAAAGCACUUUACUGGGCUAUUACUAACACUCAGAGACGAAAGCUAGGGUAGCAAAUGGGAUUAGAUACCCCAGUAGUCCUAGCCGUAAACUAUGGAUACUAGAUGU
rnacentral:rRNA from 1 species